rnacentral:lncRNA from 1 species
AUGCUGCCACAGUCCCCAUCAGGAGUGGGUUUUGCCAGAACUGGCCAAGAAAUGCGCCAGGAGCUAAUCAGCAAGCUGCCCCCAGCUCCCAGAGGUGCUUGUGCCCCAGCGGUCAAGGCACAAUGCUUGGACGCAAUGGUGCAGAGCCAGGUCUUGGUGCUAAGCAAGUCCUCAGUGUCCCAAGGUGGAGACCUGCAACCUCCUCAACUGCAAGUGCCACCUGCUGAGAUGCCCCAGGAGGAAACAGCUUCUUUUGCCCCGGAUGAUCCCCUGCAGGGUGCAAUGACAGCCAAAGAUGUUUCAGAGAAGGCUAAACUGACCAGCCCACCCUUCGCAGAGGUAACACCUGGCUCUGCAAAAGACAUCGCUGCCAGGUUGCACAGUGAAAUGGCUGCACCUGAGUCACCCUCGCCUUCGCUGCUUGAGCCUUCGGGCCUUGUUCAGAGCAUCAUUGGAGAAGUUGGCAUGGAACUGAGGGCUGAGAGCCAGUGGCCUGCCCCACAUGGCCCUGCACUGCCUUCUGUGGCUCUGGAGGACGCAGGCCUGAGGCUUGUAUCUGCAACCUUGAGCCGUCCUGAUGAAAUGAGUCCUGGACCCAGCCAGCAGCUGGCUCAGCCUGAUGCAGACAAAGCCAGGAAGGAGCUCAGUGCAGCCAUGCCACAAAGGACGUUGGCACACACCAUCGAUCAAGCAACACAGGCAAGCCCAGCCCAGGACCAGACCACAGAGUGUGGCAAAAGCACAGCCGUCACAGCUCAGCAAAGGCCUGAUCCCCACGCUCGUGGGGGCAAAAGGAUCAGCAGGACUGGUGCAGCAGCUUCCCCAGGUGAGGGCAGUGGGCCAGGGACACAACGACAAGCACUGGCAGGGCAGGGCCCAAAACAGCAGCCUUUGGGCAUCAUCUGCCACACUGGAGGAGAGCUGCUGCGCGUGCACCCAGACGACACCUCACAGUAUCUCGCAGUGCUCACAAUCAAAACAGAGACCCUGGAGGAGCUCGGCAGGAGCUGCCUGACGCGCACAGGGCAGAACUUGGCCCAGCUCCGAGAAGCCUGUUUUCAGAGGAAGGAGCAGAGCCUGAAGGAAAGCGAGGGCAAGGAACAGGAGGGUGAGGGGAAACGUUUCUCUCUGACAGCGUCAGGAUCACUCAAUGUUCGACCCAAGGAGGUGAAUGCACCCCUCUGCACUAGGGCCAGCCACUGCACCAUGCUGCAACAGCCUGCUUGUCCCAGUGCUGGCGGGGCUCAGGAGGCCUUUCCUGGUGGGAAAAGAAGCUCUCUUCACAAAUCUCUCUCUCUUCUUUUAGCUCCUCAGCAGAAACUCCUUCCACAACUUGUGGAAACCUGA